rnacentral:rRNA from 3 species
CACCGCGGUUAUACGAGAGGCCCCAACUGAUAGUCCACGGCGUAAAGCGUGAUUAAAGGAUACCCAUUAUACUAGAGCCAAAAGCCCCCUAAGCUGUCAUACGCACCUGAGGGCCCGAAGCCCAACCACGAAGGUAGCUCUACCCAACAAGGACCCCUUGAACCCACGACAACUGAGACA